GACCUGAAAUCAGUCGAGAUUACCCGCUGAA
rnacentral:rRNA from 2 species